rnacentral:rRNA from 1 species
ACACGACUACAUUAGAUACCCCGGUAGUCCAGGGUGUAAACGCUGCGGGCUUGGUGUUGGGGGUCCUUUGAGGGCGCCCAGUGCCGGAGAGAAGUUGUUAAGCCUGCUGCUUGGGGAGUACGUCCGCAAGGAUGAAACUUAAAGGAAUUGGCGGGGAGCACCGCAACGGGAGGAGCGUGCGGUUCAAUUGGAUUCAACGCCGGACAACUCACCAGGAGCGACGGUUACAUGAAGGCCAGGCUGAUGACCUUGCCUGAUUUUCCG